rnacentral:lncRNA from 1 species
CGGGGCGGCAAAACGUCCGCCCGGGCCCGAGGCGGGCGGAGGCAGCUGUGGUUACGUGCGGGGGGCCGGUGACGCAGUCGCGGGGCGCUGGGACGCGGCUUGCGGAGCCGGCCGGCGAGCGCAGGCCCCAGGCUCGGGCGCGGCGGCGGGACAGCACCUACCUUCCCGGCUUCGGGUCCGGGAGUGCGGGGCGCGGAGCCGCCGGAGCGCUGCCUCCCUCCUUCCUCCUCCCCUCGCCCCCGCCCCGCGGCGCGACACACAAUACUCGCCGGAAGCGGAAGCCGCGCCGAGGCUCGUGUCAGUGGAAGCUGGGGUGUCGGCGGGCGGCCGCGGCCGGGUCUAGCGGUGCCUGCGGAAGAAGGAGGAGGAGGGCUGGCGAUGAGAAGCAGCAGGGGGAAUCAAGGGCAAGAAGGGACCCAGAGGGGCAGGUGGCUGAGAUGCUGGCGUCCAGGUGACCCGAGGAAUCCUCUGGAGAUACAGGCCCGCGCAUGCGCGUGCUCGAGCGCUGAAGCCCAUUGCCCGCAGGGCGCUGGACUGGCGCCCCGGCCGGCGAGGCUGUCUAGUCCAGGCUCCAGGCCCCGGCUCUGGCCAGGCGCCGCCGCCUCCCGGUGCAGCUGAAAGUCGACGAAGAGGGCGGGGCGGGGGCGGCUUGUGGACUUCCACACUUUUCCUCUCUUCGGGCCAGUCUGGGGAGAGGGUGGCUAGCUGUGGCGGCGGCCAAUUACGUGGCGGACCUGCGGGGCUAAGCUGGCACGUCACUUCCGACUAGUGGAGUUUUUAGCCUUUUAACAUUCAAGGAUUAGAGCUCCCUCUUUGCCCACUAGCAGGGCAUUAGCUGGUGCUGAAGACAGUGGCUGCUUGGCGAGCCUGGAUCUCCAAGUGACCCCCUCAGCAACUCCUGAUGAACAGGACUGAAGCCAAUAUUAAAGCAAGUCAACCAAAGGUUCUCUGGUGUAGACAAGACAGCAAAAGGACAGACUACCUUGUGGAACCUAGCAUUGUUCUCCUUCUGCAGCACUAAGUAACAUUUGUUCUCCGUUAAGAUCUUUGCAAACCACACACAAGAAUUGCUGGUCAUCCUGCCAAUAGAUGCUGCUCACAGAACCAAAUUUCCUGUGCUGAAUUGUCACUCAUGGGCUUGAGAGUAGGAGACUGGAGACCAAGGUGGCUAGAAUCCAGUUGGGCCUGAUGUCUCCCUGUUGAAAGGGCUCCUUGUGGAAUGAAUAGCACAUGGCUCCUGUGGUGGAUCUGAUAGUGGCAUAGCACCAAGUGAUGCAGGCCUGCCAGGGGCCACAGACACAGAAGAUGCUCCCGGGGUCCCCCAUGUACUCCAGACACACUGCAGGCCACCUCUCCCAGCAGGUUGCCAGUCAUGGGCCCCAUCAUCAUGACUUCUGUCCAAGGUACUGUGUGCAGAAAUGUGAUUGAGAUUCAAGUCAGGGCCUCUCUGCCCUUUUCCCUCCAGAAACAAAACCAAGAUAAUUUAUCCUGAACACGGUGAAAAAAGGAAGGGAGGGAGGAGAAAAAGUCCGGGUCUCACCUGGGAUUCUCUGUCUCCUGCAACAUGAAGGAUUUAGCCUGGGAGGAGGUGGUGAGAACUCUGGGAGAGAAAAAAGAAGGAAAGAAUAGUUUUACCCAUGCUGAAGUUAAUUUAAACCUUCACCUAGAGAAGCAAAAAAAAAAAACCCACACUUUCCCAUUUUGUGCCUCCCUUCCUAGAGUUUUAGCCAAAGGUUUAGCUAAGUAAUUGGUUUUACCAGCGCACUCACUCCUCCUAUCCCAAGUCUGUUUGACUCCCUCCCCAUCAUCCUCCUCACCUCUUUUCAGGCAGGGUGGGGAUAGCAGCAGGAGGAGAUUUUGGGAGCCUGGCAACUCCUGCAAGGACCGCAGGACAGCCCCUCUGUGGGGAUGCGUGGUGCCCCAUCUGCCGCCCUUCUGAAGAAUGCACUGCCUUCACUUUUUACUGUGUUAGAGUCCAUCCAGACUGUUCUAUCCAAAAAAGUUUCUUUUUCCCCCACAGGCAAUCAGGAAAUGAUUCCUUUCCCGACUGCUUCUGUCUAGUGCCUGGGAAUCUUGAGUCAAUCCCUCAGUAAGUCAGUGACUAGGGAAAUCCCUCUCUGAGCCUCCCAGUUCAUGUUGCUUAGGGAACCUGAUAUUUUCGUGAAACCUGCCUACACAUGGGCAGCCCAACAGCAGAACAAAUGGUGGUGACCAAAGUGAACAAAGAAGUAUAGUUGUGCCAGCUUCGUAGUUGCCCAUGUGGACAAGUCAGCAGGAUCAGGACACGAGGAAGAGUAAAUGUGAGACAGUCAAUGUGACUUCUGCGAUAAACAGAUUUUUAAACCCCGAAAUUUUGCAAAAUUUUGGUGAAACCUGAACUUUCUUCGUUGCAUAUACUGGCACUAUCUGUACCAUCAUACAACUGUCUCACAUUAAAGCUAUUUUUCUUGGGCACUGAUGAGUAAGGUUGGUAUAAGUUCCUCAGAUCAACAAAAACCCAUUUUCCUGUAAGUCUUACAUUUAGUAUUUAAGGAACUAAAACUUAAAUACAUUUUGUGAAAUGGUUGACACUUCACUGAUAAUGAUUUAUUGCUUGGAUUAAUAAAUUUUCCAAAAGUUGUCUUAUGUAGAAUAUGGUUUGCAACCAGCAGAACCAUUAAUCUAUACUGCAAUGAUAUGCACUAUGUAUAAUUGUUUAAAAGCCUCUACUUAAUGAUGUAAAAUGCUCUAUUUAAUUACACAUUUGGGUAAACUGUAUACUAACAUCUGAUGGCAUUUUUCCACUGUUUGUUGCUUUUUUCAAAUACUUUAUUGUACAAAGCUGUUCUUAAUAUUUUUCAAGUUUUUUUCUUUGAAUUUUGCUAAUGUUUUCCUUGAAUUAUGAGCACUGACAGAAUGUGCUUAGCACUUUUGGCUAUUCACACAGCUUUUGAGCAUGAUUUGCAUCCAAUAUUUACAUUGCUAGCAAUAAUAAGCCAUCUGUGAGUUUUGUCAAAAGUUAUUGGGGAUUUUUUAAAUUUUAGAAAUGCAAAUUAUUGUUUCUUUGAACUAACUCUUAUGCAGUUGCAAAGGCAUUUCCAGUUGUUAUAGUUUGUGUACAAUAUCAGGUGUUCCAGAUUAUGAUUCAUUAUUAAUAUCAUUGCUUCCUUGUUCCCUCUGAGGUCCAGAAGAUUCAUGUUUACAAUAUUUAGAAACAAUGUUAAAAAGGUAUCCAAAGUUUGUCACUUUAUUAUUAGUUUGUUCUUAAUAUUCUGUUUAAGUUUUUGAAUUCAUAGAUAUCAAAACGCUGCACAAUUAUGAUUUCCACAGGAAUAACAACACACUAACAAUAAGAACCAAAAACAGCAAAUAGGCUGCCUACAAGUUUUGACAAUAUUAGGAUAAUGAUAAUGACAGUUUUUCUAAAUCUCACAGUAAAGAAUGCAGCAACCCAGCAACACUGCUACCUGUGGCCUCAGGCUGCAGUGUCAGCUCUUCCCUGGGUCUCCAGCCUGCCAGUCUAACCUGAAAAUUAUGUACUUGCCAGCCCCCACAGUCACGUGAGUGAACUGGCCCAGGCUGGUCACCAGGGUCAGUUUCUCUGUGUGUCAUUAAUUCAUUCAGUCUUCAGCAGUCUCUUUGGAGCUGAGAUGUACCUACCAUCUGCCUUUUGGGUGCUUAGGGUGGAGAACCAGAAAAGUAUAACCUAGUGUGUAUCCUCAAAGAGCUAACAAUAUGGGGUGGUACCUAUAGGUCUGGAAACACUUUACUGACUCUGUGAGGCAUACCAGGAGACGUCAGAGAACAGUCCCUCCUCAAAUGCCAAAUGAGAUGCAGAAGAAAUAGUUUGCUCAAGUUCAUGGGCCAGAUAUCCCAGUGGUCAGGGAGUUUCAUGAAUGAGAUGGAACUUUGCAUGGAACCCGAGGGAUGUGUAUGAUUUGAGUAGAUGAAGAAAAUGAGACUUUCCAAGCAGCUAGAAGUUAGGGAGCAGCAAGAUGUGUGGUGGGAUUGAGCACAGUUGGUUCAGAGGAUAGACUGCAGUUUUAAUAAUUUGUAGUAAAUAUCUCCCAACUGUUUGGCACUAUUGGAGCAAGUUCUUGAAUGCCAAAUGAAGGCAUAAAUCAGUAAGAGGCAUAAUAAAAGGCUGAGCAGUGCUUGGCUUUUUACGAACUGAUCCUGAUAGGAGCAGCUGUUCAACAAAGUUGCCAGGUCACCGUUACAUAGUCCCUGCCUUCUAGGGGCUCACUGCCUACUGGGAGAGACAGUCUGAAAGUUGGUGGAGCAUGUAACUGUUGGAUGAGGAGUUUGAGCCUGUGGACUGUGGGACCCCCGAGGAGGGUGUGGCUACUCUAGGCAGAACAAUCCCACAGUUUAUUUAUAUUUAACCUUGAAAUUCAUUAGAGGAUUUUUCAGCAGAGGUUUGGUACUUGUUAAUGUUAAGGUUUGCAUUCUCUAGAACCUCAAGGAAAGCUGUACCGUGCAUAAUGUACCCUCUUAUGUUAAUGUUGUGUACUGUGAUCCUGUUUCAGGGACUUGCACUUAGGAAUCUGUUACAGUGAGCACAGAAGCAGACCUGUGGGCUCAUAGUCUUCACCCCCCACCCAUAUAUACAAGAUGAACAGAGUGGAGGUUAAACAACUUGACUAAACAACACAGUUCAUGGUAAAGCCCAAGACUGUACCUGCCCAUCCACUGCCUUUUCCAUGUAUCCUGGAACUGAGCAUAGACCUCUUCCCAGGCAGAGCUGACAGCAAGUAAAGGAGAUCAUAAUCAGGGGACCAAACAACUUUGUCUAAAGUGUGAAUGUCACCUAAGGAGAAGCUGUGAGAUCAGAAGGGUGGGGCAGAGGAGCAGACACCAUGAGAGAGAGUCCUUGGGGGUACAUCUGCCAGACUGACACUGUCUGGCCUGGGCAGUGGAGGGGCUAGCAGGAACCACAGGUACUGGUGGUGUGGCUACUACCGUUACAACUGCCUGUGCUUGGACAUGGACCCUCUGCAAUAUGCGGCAGUUUCAUUCAUUGCCCCCUACAUUCUACACCAAGUAGAAAUGGAAGGCAAUUGGAUACUUCACAGACAAGAUCUAAGUGGAGAAGGAAUGCGUCCUGUGGCUGCAGAGAUCCUUGGAGCUUGGAGGGGAGAGCUUGAGCCCCACUGAUGAUGACCUCCCACAGCUCGCCAACUCAGCCCUCCCUAAGUCCCCAUCGGGGGCCAAUUCUCACUCUGGGGUUGGGGGGACUCCACCAUAGCUCAUCCAUCAUAGGGAUGUUGGUAUCUACUGUGGGUUGGGUAGGGCCGAUGUGCUGAGGAUGGCUCCCCCACAAGCAAGAGAUGUGGAUUUGGGGAGCUUCCCAUCUUGUGUUGAAGGAACAUAACUCAGAAUAAUAAGAGCCAACUAUAACAAACCCACAGCCAACAUCAUACUGAAUGGGCAAAAGCUGCAGGCAUUCCCCUUGAAAAGUGGCACAGGAUAAGGAAGCCCUUUCUCACCACUCCUAUUCAAUAUAGUGUUGAAAGUCCUGAUCACAGCAGUCAGGCAACAGAAAUAAUAAAGGGCAUCCAAAUAGGAAGAGAGGAAGUCAAACUAUCCUUGUUUGCAGACAGUAUGAUUCUAUAUCUAGAAAACCCCAUAGCCUCAGCCCAAAAGGUCCUUCAUCUGAUAAUUUCAGCAAAGUUUCAGGAGACAAAAUCAGUGUACAAAAAUCACUAACAUUCCUAUACACAGUCGCCAAGCCAAGAGCCAAAUCAGGAGCACAAUCCCAUUCAUAAUUGCCACAAAAAAGAAUAAAAUACCCAGGAAUGCAGCUAACCAAGGAAGUAAAGGAUCUCUACAAUGAGAAUCACAAACGCUGCUCAAAGAAAUCAGAGAUGACACAAACAAAUGGAAAAACUUUCCAUGCUCAUGGCUAGGAAGAAUCAAUAUCAUUAAAGUGGCCAUACUACCCAAAGCAAUUUAUAGAUUCAAUGCUAUUCCUAUCAAACUAUCAAUUACAUUUUUCACAGAACUAGAAAAAACUUAAAAUUCAUAUGGAACCAAAAAGCCUGAGUAGUCAAGGCAAUCCUAAACAAAAAGAACAAAGGUGGAGGCAUCACAUUACCUAACUUCAAACUACAGGGCUACCAUGACCAAAACAGCAUGGUACUGGUACAAAAGCAGACACACAGACCAGUGGGACAGAAUAGAGAGCCCAAAAAUAAGGCCACAAACCUACAGCCAUCUGAUCUUCAACAAAGUUGACAAAAACAAGCAAUGGGGAAAGGUCUCCCUAUUCAAUAAAUGGUGCUGGGAUAACUGGCUGGCCAUAUGCAGAAGAUCGUAACUGGACCCCUUUUACUAUGUACAAAAAUUAAGAUGGUUUAAAGAGUUAAAACCCAAAAUUAUAAAAAUCCUGAAGAUAACUUAGGCAAUACCAUUCUGGACAUAGGAACUGGCAAAUAUUUCAUGAUGAAGACACCAAAAGCAAUUGUAACAAAAGCAAAAAUGGACAAAUUGGAUUUAAGAGCUUUUUCAUAGCAAAAUAAACAACAGGGCAGACAAUCUACCAAAUGACAGAAAAUUUUUGCAAACUAUGCAUCUGACAAGGGGCUAAUAUCUAGCAUCUAUAAGGAAUUUAAACACAGUUACAGG